UCCAGUGGACAGGUGAGAAAUGUAGGUCUGCCCCUGGGAGAAAUGCAUAAAUGUUCUAUUGAGCUUCGGAUCUAUCGGCUGUACCCUUGAUUUCUGGUCAAAAUUUCGACGCAGGUUGCCUAUUUUUGCUCAUGAGGCCUGCGGCGCUGUCAUUUUAGUGAAAAUGGUACAGGGUGGGGAUGGUAUGCCCAAAGUUCAUUCAUUGGGCGGAUCCAGAUUGGGGGUGGUUGAAGCAGGGGUCAGUGCCGGAGCCGGGUUCAGUGGUACUGGGUACGGCGACCAAAUAAGUGUUGAUGGUGGAGGUGGGGCAGUGUCGGAUUUCAAUGAGAGUGAGGGAGAUAACGCUGAUGCGUUUGAGCAAGGAGGUACACGAGUAGAGUAGCACCACGCCAUGGAUUCACUGAUUGCAGACCAAGCAAAGAGUGUAGGUGCAACUUCAGUUCAUUCUACAGGAAAGAUGGAUCCACAAGCACCCGGUUGGACAAGAAGGUGUGGAGAUUUAUUUUAUGAAUCUUGUGCUUUGUUGUAGUAUGCAUCCUCUAAUUAUUAUAUUAUUCUUGUGCAAGUUUGCUUACCUGAAAAAAUGAGUAGAUUAACUGGAAAAAUUAGUAUCCAUCUUGUGAUUAUUAUAUUUAUGAAUCUUGUGCAAGUUACAUAGGACAAAGCAAAAAAAUUACGAGGCAAGUUCAGUUAUGUCAGGGAGCUUUGGUAAUGAAUGCACAAAGGGAAUGAUCUAUGAAAAAACUGAUGUAGUAUAGUAGUAUGAAAUGCAGAACAUGAUUCAU
rnacentral:lncRNA from 1 species